UUUCCGUAGGUGAACCAGCGGAAGGAUCAUUAUUGUAUAACCGAGGUGCGAGGGCUGUCGCUGACCCGAAAGGUCGUGCACGCCCGAGUGCCCUCACACACAUCCAUCUCACCCCUAUGUGCACCACCGCGUGGGUCCCCCUUUGGCUUGUUCGGAGGGGGGCUUACGUUUUCACACAAACUUUGUAUGCAGUGUAGAAUGUAUUUUUUGUUUUUGCGAUCACGCAAUCAAUACAACUUUCAACAACGGAUCUCUUGGCUCUC
rnacentral:misc_RNA from 1 species